GGGGAUCCUAUUCCAAACAAAGCUGUCUACUCAGUCUCUCAUAUUCAGACAGGAAAUGACCAGGUGGCUGAUUGCUAGCGUGAAAAAUACAUUAGAAGCACACGAUUCACAAAUGCAUGAUUGUUUAUAUAUAUAAUGAUUUAGAAGAAAUAAAUAAACCUUUAAUGCACGAAUCCCUCAAGUGUUCCUUGUGUCAUAUCUGACCUCCCUAUCAUCAGAUAUUCUUAUCAACAGGUAGUUUUAUUAAGUGAUUAUCUGCAAAGAAAGAAUUCGAAUAUUGUUAUGAGGAGAGAUCAAUGUCUGUAUCAGUAACUCUCUGUCGCGUUCACAUGUAGAGGGUGCGUGCAGCCGUGGGGCGGCGCUCUUCAGAAGUCUCGCUGGUCUCCAGGACAACCGCGCGUGUGGAACGCGUCAGCUCGUGGAUUUCUGCCAUACGGUAGAAAGUCUGUCAUUUAAUUAAUUAUAUUUAUUAUUCUUUUAUUUAUAUACAUAUAUAUAUAUUUAAAAAAAAAAAAAAAAAAGAAAAUGUUUAUUUUUGUAUUUCUCGGCUAGCACAUAAACAAAGCACAACUUUAUUUUAGUCUAUUUUACAUGUUCCUGUCACCGAAAUGAACGAAUCCUACUACGAUGAAGGCAAAGCUCAUGAUUAUUAAUUAGUCCGUGCCACCGUUGCUUAGCAACCUAUACGCAGCGUCCAGUCACGACCGUCAUUAGUAUUCAUGAGCCAAGCCUUCGUCGUAGUAGUGUGUUGAGAGAAGACAACAAUGCACCCGCUGCUUCGGAGGACUGGAUGUGAGUGACUGACGGUCAGUUUACUCAACAGAGGUUCUGGGAUUUAACUCACUCUCAUCUCUCUGAAAUGAAGCUGGGGACAAAGAGAGACUACUCUUCUGGUGGCUUACUGUAAGUUGUAUUGAUCAGAGAUGUCCAGCACCACUGUGUCCCCCAAAGUCCCCUCCGCCAGCUCUUCAGCGGACCAGCGGACGAUCGUCGUGGGGGCAUUGGGUUGUCUGGUGUUUUUCUUCAUGAUCGUGGUGCUGCUGUUGAUCCUGUACUGGAAGCUUCCGCUCUGCUGCAAAAUGAGGGUUUAUCAGGAAUCUCGUUCUGACGUGGAAUCUCCUCCUCAGUACUACAACAGCAGACAGACUCUAGUUGCUUCGUCUGAUGCUGAGCAAACACAUGACACUGGUCUUGAUCAUGUGGAUGCGCAGUCGGGCUCGUUGUUCCUCAUUGGUGUGCCGAGCAGCUACUACCUUUCCUCACUGGAGCCUCCUCUUCCUCGUCUGCCCUCGUAUGAGAGCGUUCGCAAGAAAGACAGACAGCGGCAGAUCCACAUCAUGAUAGCCGACCGAUUUGGCCUUAACGGACCUGUUGUGACAGAGCCGCCUCCCACAUAUGAGGAGAGCAUCCGUCAGUCUGUCCAGUCCAUUGACGUCCCGUUUGACAUCCUGGCACCCGAGGAGGAGCCGCCACAUGCACCAGUCACAGUCUCUGAGGCCGGCACAGAUUUACCUGCAUAUGAAGAUCUACCUCAAAUCACAGACUCACAAGAUCCCAAUACCACUCUUAAUUAAAGCGUGCUCAUGCACGGGAAGAAUGCGAUCUAUCCUCAGAGGAAAAUGAACUGCUGUUGAGCUGCCGCUGCCUCGAUGAGCGGCCGGCGUGUGCGUGAAUCCACUGUGCUCGCAAAAGACACCAAAAUAGGGUAGGACUCGACCUAUGCAAUAACUUGCACUAGCAAGUAGGAGAAGGAUGCUGCACCACUACUGGAAGAAACGGAGAGAAGAACAAGAAUAUGCCAUUUGAAUUAUCUAUUUAAGUUCUAUCUGUUCAAAACGAACAUGAAUCUGCUACUUUAUAGAAUUAUACUGACUAUAGAUAUUUCAGUGACUUUUCCAAGCCUAAAAAUGUAGAAAUUACAUCACAGAAUCUGCAGAAAAACUAAUUUAAGGAGUGGGGAAUGUCGAUUUCAGUUUGAUUAUAAAAAGUGACAUGAGGUAUGAAAACAAAUGUGUUUUUUUUUUUUUUAGAAUAACAUCCACUUAUCAGUCGUUCACAGUAACACUAGUGGCAUUUAUUAACUUUAAAUAAAUCUAUUGUGAGUUCAUGAUUAAUUAUUUCA
ensembl:lncRNA